rnacentral:rRNA from 1 species
UACGUAGGGUGCGAGCGUUGUCCGGAUUUAUUGGGCGUAAAGAGCUCGUAGGCGGUUUGUCGCGUCGUUCGUGAAAUCUCCACGCUUAACGUGGAGCGUGCGGUCGAUACGGGCAGACUUGAGUUCGGUAGGGGAGACUGGAAUUCCUGGUGUAGCGGUGAAAUGCGCAGAUAUCAGGAGGAACACCGGUGGCGAAGGCGGGUCUCUGGGCAACAACUGACGCUGAGGAGCGAAAGCGUGGGGAGCGAACAGG